rnacentral:lncRNA from 1 species
ACCCUAGACCUCGAACUAUUAGAUUUUAUGAAACGUAUGUUUGUUUGCAUUAAAUUAUCCAAUAUAAGGUUAUUCAAAACAUAAAGGUUUUUAAAGUUUGAACCUUUUGAAAAUCAUAAAAAAUGGAGAAAAAAAAAACUCCAGCAGCCUACAUCAUGGCUUGAAAAAAAAUAAUAAAAAGACAGCAUGACAUUUAUUUAAAAAAAAAAUCCUUGCUAAACAAACACUUAUAUGAGGGGGAAGAGAGGGAGAGGGAGGGAAAUACAAGCUACUGAAAAAAAAUAGAAUAAAACACCACUUUUUUUUGGUGGGAAUGAAAGCUUUAAAUUGUAAAGAGCACAGUAUAUAGUGCAACUCACAUAAAAUUACAGUAGUCCUAUAGCGCAGCAAAAGACACCAGGACGAGCCCAGUAAAUAAGAUGAGACAGGGCCAUACAGAACGCAACAGUGAUAAGAAGCCCUGGCCAUACAUACGAGAGUUAAUAACAAAGUAUAUAGAGUAAAGAUAAUUAGAGGAUAUUGCAAGAAGACAAGGAGGCCCCGGGCA